GUAUCGUUCGUGUUUCCGUGGUUUUUUUUUUCCUUUUUUUCCCUUUCCCUUCCUUUUCCAUUUUAUUAUAUUAACAUUAUUGUCAUUAUUAUCAUAAUCAUUGGUAUUCUUAUCAUUCUAUUGUAAUCAUUAAACUGUGCUUAUCUCAACCCACAAGUUCUUUUGCUCGUCCGAUUCUCUUCCCCAUCCCACAGGGGUUUGGGGGGAGUGAGCGAGCGGCUGCGUGGUGUUCAGUUGCCAGCUGAGGCUGAACCACGACAUACAUAAAACAGGAGGAACACAAAUGUGUAAACCUCAACAGUUGGAUACUGAUUUUUCACUUCUGUUUUCUCUCCUUAGAAGGUGAACACAAUCAAAUUCCAUUUUUAUAUGUUCUUAGGGUACAACAGAAAAAUUUUAUUUCAGUGUCUCUUGUUCACAGUCUCUUACACACUUUGGCCAUAACUUCAGCACUGCUGUGCCUACUGUGGUGGAUGAUCCUGCAAGAUUUUUGUCUUGGCAGAGAUUACAGCCCACAGACAGAAGUCAAUGCAUGAAACACUUGUGGAGACUGUAAGGUAAGGGUAUGUGGAAGGAGAGUGUCUGCUCCUUAAGGGCAUCUGGUCAAAGAAGCCAUAAACAGGAACAUACAGAGGUAAACCAGACCAAUGCUGGAUAAGAACAAACCUGGUCAGUCCCACUAAUAGGUAAGGAUAUGUGUUUAUUUUUUCAGUUGGGAGGAUAAAGAAAGGGAAAGAGACAGACAAAUAGAGUCAUAUAACUUGACCGAUUAGCAUUAACAAAGACAAUAACUAGUAACAAACCUAGUUGGUCACACUAAUUAAUGGGCUAUCAAGGAACUGCAGGCAUACCGGGACUUUGCAACUGAUUGCAAACCUGAAGGUCCAGGAUGUUGCAAGGGGUUGGUGGCACUAUGCCAGCUGAUGAGGCAAUGUGCAGGGGAAGGGGGAGCAGGGAGGAACAAAGACAGGGAUAGACAGAAUAAGAUAUAAAAGGGGCCGGUCACAUGUAAAACAGGGCUGGUCAGUACACUUUGGCUGAGUCCUAUGCCUGAUCACUGCAGUCUGUCCUAUCUUAUAUCUUCUUAUUAAAUAUUUUCUUAACUAUCUCUUUAUGUAAUCUCAUUCUCUAUCCCAUGUAUAAGGUGCUGCAAGGGAUAAGUGCCAGCUACUGGUGAGAGCAGCAUGAGUGGAUUUGGGGCCAGCUACUGAAGCCAGAACGGAGGUACACUGACUUCCAGGUUCUGCACAGUCCAGUCUAGGGAGCUGAAGAGGAAUCACUCUCCAAAAUGCUUGUGGGAGAAGAAUUAAGAGUGGGACUUCUACUUUUUAAUGUGUGAACUUUAGUAGCACAAUAUUUUAAGCAUUAAUAAAACCAAACCCUGUAAGACAUACAAGACAUUACCAAGAUAAUGCAUAUACCACUUUCCAUCUGAGGAAAUAAUGAACUAUGUACAUUAGAUGUUAGUCAUAUGAUUUAACGUACACUGCAUUAAGGUACUAUGCUGCUGCAGUGAUGAAGGUGCCAUAAGAACCUCUAUAGGUUAUUGCUCAAAAGAUGCAAUGCAUUUAUAUUUUAUCAUCCAAUCUAGUUGUGAGACUAAAUGCCAGAAUCCCAUUUUCCUAGGAUGUCUUUAAACCAUCUCACAUCUUCCAUUUAGCUGUUUGCAGGACAAAGUUUCUACACAGAUCUACCAAGACUAGAGAGAAGAAACUGUGGGAACAGACAUGUAAAACAGUCUGAGCAAAAUAAUUAAUAUUCUUUUCUGUAUAAGAAAUAAUACAGUUACAGAAAGCAAACC